CCCGCCCGGGACUAACUGGGCCAAAGCCCAACUAACAGAGGCGAGCAUCUGCCAUAGGGUUUGCCGCCGCCGCCCUUCUCGUCGUCCUUCCGUCAAUCCCUAGAUUCGUCGCCAACUCCCCCUCACCUGCCAGGCGAGGAUCCCGCAGCGCACCCCAAGCUAUCGUAACGCCCCGCUCGAGACAAAGCCAGAGAAGGACGGGCGGAGCCGCAACCUCCUCCCUUGUCUCUGGAUGCCUGCACCGUGUGAGGCCCUCGAUCCAUUGACGAGCUCCCCUUUGUGGCCGGCCCGUGGGGAGGAGACCGCAAGCCUCGAGAUGGAGGCGGAAUCUGGCGACAGUCCGCCAGCGGUGUUUCAUGGACACCGGCGGUAAAUUCCUACCUUUAGGAUGGGAUCGCGUCGCCCUGCUGUGAUGGUGACGGGUGGGAUGACUUUUCAGGACAAAUUUAUCGAUCCGUCUACCUCCCCUGGUCGAUGGAUGCCGCUAGCUCCAGAUGAAGAUUGAGGAGGAGCUGAUUUGCUUGUUCAGCAGGGACGAGUUAUUAGCAGACGUGAGCUAGCAUGGACGUGAUCAGGACACGUAUUUUUACACAGCUUGAUUCAUGAGUAGACUAUUGCUGCGCUGAUUAACGACCUGGGGAGGAGGUUUGAUCUUCUUCUGAUGCUCUGUUGCUGCGAUUUUGGCAGAAAGAUCAGAAAAGGAAAAGUUAAACUGCUACACAUUAUCACUUGAGCAACAUUAUUUACCAGUAUUAUUUAGUUAACAAGGAAAUUAGCUGGUGAUCAAUCGUGAGAGGAAAUUGUAGGUGAGCAUUUGAAUCAUCUCCAUGCUAUGCUACUAGCACGUACGUCUGCCUGUAUUCUGUAGUGUUCUUCCAAUUGUACAUCGUAAUAUUGUCUUGGUGCUGUACUUUGUUAGUUUUGAUUCAGUUUUUACUAUAUUGGGAAAUACAAAUUUUAAUUGGUUUCAUCGAAAUAUCACAUAAUCCCUAUUCUCCCCACCUUCGUACGUCAAAACAUUUGGUCGUUCUUGUCGUACUUCCGUUUCCCACGCGCCCAAAUGGGCCAAGCCCAACAACCCCAACUUCUCCUCCUCCCUUCCGCCGCCGCCGUUGCCGCGGAGCAAAUCCUGUGGGUUGGGAGCAUGGCGCCCUGGACAUGUCGCUGGACGACCUCAUCACCAAGAACAAGCCCUCGCGUGGCCACGGACGCCGCAACCUGGCCUCCGCCUCGGGAGGACCCGCGCCCGCGCGCCGCCGCUUCCACAGCCCCGCCGCCAACCGCUCCGCCGCGGCACCCUACCGCCAGCUCAACUUCCAGCCACAGCAGGUGCCGCUGGCUUCCGGGAACAUUGCCCAGCCGAUGGCCAUGGUCACGGCGCCGUCCACUGACUUGGACAUCACGCCCACCAAUCUCUACAUCUCCAACCUCGACUACAACGUCUCCAACGAGGACAUCAAGGAUCUGUUUUAUGACAAAAGUGGAAGAUCAAAGGGAACUGCAGAGGUUGUCUUUUCGACAAAAGUAGAAGCUUUAGCUGCUCUUAAGAAAAUUGAGGCAUUGGGAUAAACAUUGAGGCACCAGCACCUGCUAUUUUCGCUUUUGCUCCACCUCCACUACCUGGAAACUUCAGUUUUCUUCUCACAAGGAUCUCAUGCACAGAGAAUAUAUCAACUGAAGGACUUGUUGUGGAGAUUAUGUCAAAUAGAUCGAAUUAAGUGUCAGCUCUAUGAACAGCAAUACAAGAUACAAUACUACCUAGAGGUUGCUCGCAUUGUCCAUGAUGACCACCCUACAUAGAGAAGUUGGAAACUUGGAAUCACCAAUCAACUUUGCAGCACACGAAAACUAUUACUCAGUUCAUUAUGUGGAUGCCAAAGGAUCAGGAAGGAGCGUGUUAUUAAAACAUCGAGCAGUGACUUUCAUCAUCAAGGCUGCAAUUCUGAAGGCACUCAACUCAAAAUGGCAGGGGGGAGGAAUGUGUGGAGGACAUUGAGGGACUGGCAGGUGGCUUUAUACGCGUUCAUAAUUUUGGUGACGAUCAAGGUGAUGCCCUUGUAUGUUUACGUGAUUGACCUCCACAUGUGAGAGGAUCAAAAUUUCACGUAAUAUCAUAAAGGCUAGGCUCACAAUAGGUAAGCUUUUAAUUAUUCUUUUGUGAUGUUUCUUUCAUGUUCAAUGUAGAUAUUUGGUGCCUAUGUUUUCAAAGGUCGGACUAUUAAUAUUUUUCAAUGAUGGUGCAUGCCUGCCAAGUUUAGUUUAAGCAAGUAAAUGUAUGCUUGAAUAUUGACAGUGCAAUGGUUGAUUAUUUACCAACUCAAUUUCUAUUUUUCACCAUGUCGGGAUUUUGUGACAGCGCAUAGGCAUUUGUGUAUGUUCCUGUGGAAAAACCAGAUGACAGCAAUGAGAUACAGUUGAGUUCUAAUUGCUAGAAAAACGACAGGUUGAUUGACAGGCUAAUUUGAAAAACAGAAGUUUCUUCUAUCAAUUCUAAUUUGCUAAUUUUUAUAGUAGUUAAGUAGAUCAUUACUGUGAUACCAGCUCUAUCUAUUUCCGUUUUUACAAAUGGAAUGGAAGUCAUUGAGUUUCCAUACUGGUAAGUUAUGGCUCGAUGGUAGUCCCCUCCUAAUGGCUUAUUGGAAUAUAAAAUAUCUUUGGGGCUCUGAGCUAGCUCACUAUCGAGUAAAGCUAAUAACAUUAACCUUGGAUAAAUAUGAUUAACUGAUAUUUUUCUCGACACGGUAAUAUGAGAGUACCAUAGUCAUCAGCCACCAUUAUGGGCUUCACUCUUUUAUUUUGUGAACUCUGCAGACUGUCAGUUAUAUUGCAAGGUAGCGAGGAUACAAGCUAUGGUUGUAGUCACAAAAUGAAUGAUCAUGGUUAAGAGGUUAGUUUGUAGUGUGGACAAAACUCUAUUAUACUGUUAUUUUCAUGGUGGAUAACGCACCAUCUAGAUCUAGAGCAGCUGGUCAAGGAAGCCACAGAGCUGGGAGUUUAAGAAGUUGAGAAGACUUUCGGUUAUUGAAAAAAUGAUUACUCUCAUAUUCAUAUUGUCAUAAUUAAAAAUGAUUACUCCCAUAUGCAUAUUUUCAUAAUAACCAGUUUUAUGUUAAAAAUAGUCUGCUCGGGCCCAUGGCAAUCAAUCUGCAUUCUGCAAUAGAAUUUGAUGGUGUCUGGUUUUUUGCCUUUUCCCUUCAAACGACUUAGACCCUAGAAUGUGACAAUAUCCAAUGGUAUAUCUUUUUACUAUUUUUGUAGUUAAUAUAUCUUUUUUGCCUUUUUAUUUUGAACCCUGCUUGCCUCCCAUUGUAAUUUGUAGCAUGAAGGAUGAGAUUGACCAGCACUACCUAAGCAACAUUAUUGUUAUGAUAUAUACGGUUGCAAAUGACAACUUUAUAGCGGAUAAUCUGCACCGAAGAGGGUGCUGAAACUGUGGAUCCUGUCAGCUAUGUCACGUUGUUAUUGCGGGUCCUGCUAUGUCAGCAUCCCGCGAAAGACAGACAAGAAGACCUAGGACUUGAAACUAUAGAGAUGAACAACAAUGUUAUCUUAUUGCGUUCGGAAUUAUUAUGUUGUAGUACAUUAUGAUAUCUCUGAUUUGUUUUAAUUUUUUAUAGUACGUUCUGAAUUA